rnacentral:rRNA from 1 species
UGGGGGAUUUUGCACAAUGGGCGCAAGCCUGAUGCAGCGACGCCGCGUGAGGGAUGAAGGCCUUCGGGUUGUAAACCUCUUUCGCUGGGUUGAAAGGCCAUGCUUUGGGUGUGGUUGAUUUGAACUGGUAAAGAAGUACCGGCUAACUACGUGCCAGCAGCCGCGGUAAUACGUAGGGUACUAGCGUUGUCCGGAUUUAUUGGGCGUAAAGGGCUUGUAGGUGGUUUGUCGCGUCUGUCGUGAAAUCCUGUGGCUUAACCAUGGGCUUGCGGUGGGUACGGGCAGGCUUGAGUGCGGUAGGGGAGACUGGAAUUCCUGGUGUAGCGGUGGAAUGCGCAGAUAUCAGGAGGAGCACCGGUGGCGAAGGCGGGUCUCUGGGCCGUUACUGACACUGAGGAGCGAAAGCGUGGGGAGCGAACAGG